rnacentral:misc_RNA from 1 species
AGCGGUUCAGCCUCGCAUCCAUCCACCCUGUUCAAUGCCGGCCUGCUGCCUGGUCGCGAGCGCGAGCUAAAAGCAGCGUGACAUGUCCAAAAUUAACUUAAUUCACCGUCAUUUAUGAGCUGCUUGUCCGAUAGAAACGUUCAGCGGGUGCUCGGAUAGCGUAAAAACGUAAAGCUGUUGCCAUGAUUUCUUUAAGUAACGUGUUAAGCCUACAAGGUCAGGUACUCCUUCCCCUGAGUCAUGUGGCUUCGAUUGUGGCUGGGGCUCGAAGUAGCACAACGAAGCCUGCCACCAAACACACUCGGCAACACUUGAAGAAUGCCAGCAACAGGAACAUACUCUGUCCUGACAGCUUCAGCAACGUGCUGUCAUGGCUUCCCAAGUCGUGCUUGCAGGAGUUGACCUGUCUUCCAACAAUUGAACUGGCUCUCAGAGACCUGGCACUGUCGGGCAGAGUGCACAGCCAAAAACGAGGGGCUGCCUGGUCCGUUUCAUACAAGUCUGCCGACAGCUUCUUUGAGAACAAGCAUGGUUUUUCCAAAGACCAGCUAAGGACUGGGGCCCCUCUUUUGUCCUGCUUGUUUCUGAGUGCUCAUUCCUCCAAUCUCUUCUCGCCACUGAUGAGGCCACUGCAAGUACAUCAGGUCCGGGGCUUCAAGACGAAGAGUCCCAGGACUAUGGAUUCCGCCUCUGCUCUUAGCUUGAAAGCUCCAGACCUCAACGAGAGAUUCCUGGCACUUCGCACAAGGAAGGACAAGGACAAGCAAAAAGUCUACACAGAAGUGGAGCAGAAUGAAAAACUCAAAUCGCUUUUGACAGAUGAGAAUCUCACCAGUGAAGAGCAGCAGAGGCUCAGAGUGGCAUUUGCCGAAGGCUACCUGGCAUCUGACCCCAAAACACGCCCCAACACAAAGCUGCGCAUUUUCAACAUCUUUCGAGACCUGCUGGGCAUCAUCCUGAUUCUGGCCAUCCUUUUCUCCUUCAUGGGUGAGCUUUCUGGGGGCCCCUUCAGGCGAGUGCUAAUAGGCACAACGAACGAGGUCCUGCCCGAAGACAUUGAAGUCACUUUCGACGACGUCAAGGGGGUGGACGAAGCUAAGCAGGAGCUUCAGGAGAUCGUGGAGUUCCUGAGGAAUCCAGAAAAGUUCUCUUCUCUUGGUGGCAAACUGCCCAAGGGAGUGCUUCUGGUGGGUCCCCCGGGGACGGGCAAGACCCUUCUGGCACGCGCAGUGGCUGGAGAGGCCAACGUGCCUUUCUUCCACGCGGCGGGCCCCGAGUUCGACGAGAUCUUGGUGGGCCAGGGAGCCAGGCGUGUCAGGGACCUUUUCAGUACGGCCAAGAUGCGGGCCCCCUGCGUGGUGUUCAUAGAUGAAAUCGACUCCGUCGGCGCAAAACGAACGAACUCGGUGCUGCACCCUUAUGCGAAUCAGACCAUCAAUCAGCUGCUCACAGAGAUGGACGGGUUCAGGCAGAAUGAAGGAGUGAUUGUACUUGGAGCGACUAACCGUCGAGAUGACCUUGACAAGGCGCUGCUGCGGCCGGGGCGCUUCGACGUGGAGGUCCAGGUGCCCGUGCCGGACCUGGUGGGGCGCAAGGAGAUCUUGCAGCUGUACCUGGGCAAGGUCAAGAUGGCCAAUGACGUCUCGGUGGACAUGCUGGCCCGGGGAACCACGGGCUUCACGGGCGCCGACCUCGAGAAUCUGGUGAACCAGGCCGCGCUGCGGGCCGCCAUCGAUGCCGCCGAAGCCGUCUCCAUGAGCUACCUCGAGAAUGCCAGGGACAAGGUUCUGAUGGGGCCGGAGCGCAAGUCCCGCAUCCCGGACGAAGAGGCCAACCUGAUCACGGCCUAUCACGAGGGGGGCCAUGCCCUGGUGGCACACUACUCCAAGGACGCACACCCCCUUCACAAGGUCACCAUCAUCCCCAGGGGACCCUCUCUUGGACAUACUGCCUACAUUCCCGAGAAGGAGCACUACCACGUCACCAAGUCGCAAAUGCUGGCAACGAUGGACACCCUGAUGGGAGGUCGGGCAGCGGAGGAGCUCAUCUUUGGCUCUGAAAAGAUCACUUCAGGUGCCUCGAGCGAUCUCCGGCAAGCCACGGCCCUCGCAACCAACAUGGUGAAAGAAUGGGGGAUGUCCGAGAAGGUUGGUGUAAGGACGUUCGAGGAAGAUCGCAAUUCGCUGAUCGUCGUCAACGAGCUGUCUCCGAAUACGUCGGAAAUCAUUGACACAGAAAUCAAGCGGAUACUUCAUGAAUCCUAUGAGCGUGCCAAAAGCAUUCUGAAGACUCAUCAAAAGGAGCACAAGCUGUUGGCUGAAGCACUGCUCAAGUAUGAGACUUUGGAUGCGGAGGAUGUGAAGCAGCUUCUCAGUGGGAAAGACCUAGCCCAACUUCGCAAAAGGGUGUUGAAGGAGUGAGAAAUCGUUGGUGGGAUCGCUUGAAGGGAGAGAAACGAGUGCGGAAUGCAAGCACCAGCCAUCACAAAAAGUGGGACAGAAAGAAGGAGGAGUUCGAUAUAAUUUUCCCUGUCAGCUUCGGCUGGAGCAGCGGAGAGCCCGGACCACCCUAGAGCCAAGAUUCGCAGAAUUAGUAAAUAAAAGUACGCAAGUGUGCAGAGAA